AUGUGCGCUAGGGAGCGGCCGGAGGUCCCCCCGGGGCUCCGUCCCCGACGCCCCCGCCCCCCAACUCCCGGGCGCGCACACCCACCCGCCCCGGAGCCGACGUGCGGCCGGACACGCAGCGCUGCCCGCGAAGCCCCCCUCCUCUCCCGGCCCGGCCAGCGCCCCGCACAGCGGUCCCCGGGGAGGGGCGCCGGGAGGGAGCGGCUCCCGGACCCCGCGGGCAGGGAGAGCCCCAGCAGCCCGCGGCCUGGGGCCCGCCACCCGCCCGCCGGCGCCGGGCAGGAGCCGACUCACCAGACACGGGAUGGCCCAGGUCCCCCACAUGGCUGCGGAGCGCCCCGCCGGAGGGCCAGCGCCUCUGCGCCUGCGAGCGCGACCGGCCACCGGCCCUGGGAGGAGUGCCAGCCGCGUGGCCCCUCCCCGAGCCCCGCCGGCCGGGGAGUCAGCUGCCCCGCCCGACCCGCCCCGGCCGCUCUUCCCGCUCCCCGGAAGUCUCGGGGCACCUGCGCGGGCUCCGCGGGUGGGCCCCGGGGCCGGGACGCAGGGGGAAGCCCGGCCGGGGAGCGCCCGGGAAGGGGGGGGGAGGCGGAAGGGGCGCCCUCGGACGGCGCAGCCCCGCGCGGGGCAGAGGGUGGGGGUGGGGGCGGCCGUCAGGCUUUGUUGCACAAACGGGCAUUCCCCGUGCGGAGGCGUUUCCGCGGGCGGCUGGCGGGCGCGGUUCAGACUCUACAUCGAGCCCUGUUUGAAGGAUCCUCUCUUUAUGGACAAUCACAAUAUGCUUGGUUGGAUUGGAUUUCUUAUAAAAGAGUGAAGGGGCCGGACAGAAGCAUGGAUCAAGGGGACAGCGGACCCCAGAGAUUGAUUUACACGUAUCAAGAGAGGUCUGGCUCAGAGAACUUGGGCCCUAUCUGCCUUUAGAAGUUCUGCUAGUGCAAAGCCGAGCGAAAAUCAACACAAAUAUCAAAGCGGGUUGGCAAAAACUGUGGGGCAUAUUAAAACUUCAAUGCAGAAUCUCAUUUGUGUCAAGAAUCUAGGUUUGAGGUCCUUCACGGGCGUUCUGACCCAUUCCCAGCCUCAGACCUGCGGUCACAGAAUCUCGAGCGGGAGAGCCCAAUGGGACUCCAGACUGGUCCUUUCCAUUUGAACCCAGCCCCUGCUCUGGAGCCCCAGGCUUGGCUUGAAUCCUUCCAUCAGCGCUGGCUCUCGCUGCCUCCCGAGGUGGCUCAUUCCAUUUUAGAACACUUUCCAAUGGUUAGAAAUAGCUCCCUGCCAUAACAGCUUCCUGGAGUUUGACAAGUGUUUGCUCAACAUCAUUAUCCAAAGAGCACUACUUAGAGACAGAGACGGACCAGCUCCAUGAAACACGGCUGACAGUAACCCUCCUUCAACGAGAGGUCGGGAGAGGUUUUUUUAUCAUCCCAAACCUCCUCCUUCAUGAACCCGUGUUCUUGAGACUUUUUUUUAUCCAGGCAACAGGGUCAAUGAGUCAGCCUGACUCCCUGAUCAUAGCACACUGCAGGAGACAGAUGUUUACAGCAGCUUUCCCAUGGAGGAAGGAUGCGAGGCAGGUAUUCCCCAACCGCCACCCCCCCCCACCGCUUUGAAAUCCCCUUGGAAACUCCAAGCCAUCCAAGGGGUUUAUCAAAAUUCUUUAACAUUUUUCUUCGAAUUUAGUUUUACUUAAACCCUGAAAAGGAGAGGUUGGGAGGAAUUGUUUAGGGAGAUAGGAAUUGUGAAAUUAAACAAAAAUGAGGUAUCUCCAGUAGUAACAUUUAAUACUCACAUAGUGCUGGGGACCUUGGCAUGUUCUUUGCGUACCUGUUAACUCAUCCAAACCUCCCAGCUACCCCAUGAACUAGGUCCUGUGACCAUCCCAGUUCACACAAGCAACUUGUAACAACUUGCCCAGAGUCACGUGGUUACUAGGUGCCCGAGAAAAAUCUCUUGAAGUCCCCGCUGAAUCUACUUCCUCUUCAAGAAAGUUACAUCAAUGGCCUUAUGAUUGAGACAUAAACUCCCCGAGGAAGUGUCAAACCU
ensembl:lncRNA